UUCAAUGUAAAGUAGAUUGCCUGUGUCUUUACCUUUUCUUUCUCUGUUCAUUCCUUUCAUAAGUAAAUUAAAAAAUCUUAAAAAAAAUGUCUUCUUUUAAGAGAACUAAAUCAGGAAAUAGCUUGCAAGUCCAUAAGAAAAAACAAGAUCUUGAUCCUAUAGAUUUGAUUUUCUCAGAGAGUUCCAGGAAAGUAGUUGAGGAAUAGAGGAUGAAAUUUUUACCUACAGAUGGAGAUAAGGCACUGGAGAUACUGAAACAAAUCAGUUCUUUGGGCUGAGAAUCAUUUGUACAAGACCCAGGUACUUAUGUUAAAGAAAUAGUUCUGGAGUUUUAUGCUAAUAUGAACAAAUCAGAAGGGACAACUACAGUUCAAAAUAAAGUGAUACCUUUUAACCCUUCAAUUUUAAAUGAAAUUUAUAAUUUAAGGAACCUUCAUGAUGAGGGAACCAGGCUAAAGAUUGAAGGAAAGGAUGAAUUAUUUUUGAAAAAAGCUGUUUAAAAAUUAUGUCCAAAUGGGGUUGAGUUAAUUUCAGGAACUGAAGAAUAUCCUUCACAAAUAGCAGGGUCAAGUAUGAGAGAAACAGGAAGGACAUGGGGGAAGUUCGUAAGUUCUUGUUUAUUCCCAUAUGUGAACAAUUCCAAUUAUAAUUUAAAAAGGGUCCUUUUGUUGUAUGCUAUUAGAAAGAAUUUGUCGAUUAACGUUGGGCGGAUGAUUUUUGAUGGAAUGAUGAAUUGUCGUUUUAGAGACGAUUGUGAACACCUAUAUUUUCCAUCAACAAUCACUCGCCUGGCAAAAAUGUUUAAGGUAGAUACGGAAGGUUUUGCUGAAUUACGAAAUGGUUAUCUCUUAGAACAGAGUUACUUGAAUUUUUUAAAACCACCUCGAGGUCCAGCAAAGCCGGAGAAUUCGAAUGCAAGUGCUUCUUCACAUGAUGUUAUGACUUGUAUGAAACAACUGCUACAAGGACAAGCUGAAAUGAAAAAAACAAUUGGACGAUUACAAAAGUGAACAAAAAAUUCGUGAAGAAAGAUUAGCGGCAAAUAUGGCACAUGUCCUGAAUGAAUUAGCUGAAGCUAAAAGUUGUCAAUCUUUUCAUUAUCAGACGUUGCGAAAUGAAUUUGCAGCCACUUCCCCCACCAUCCAUAUGAUUGGAAAUUUCACGCGCCAUGUUAAUAAUGCUAUGAGGUGUUUUGACAAUUCAAGUUUUCAGCAUUAUUCUUUUGCAGAUCCGGGAAGUAGCAGUCUCCAAGGUGCGAGAUUAUAUCCAACUCCAGAGCUUUCAGUGCCAAUACCGCCAGCACCCCAGACAAUCUUCGUUCCACAAAGAGUAAGUUCAACUAAUUUUAUAGGUGAGAGACCCUCUGUCCCUUUGCAACGCGAUGGAAUUGGAGACUUUGAAGUUGAUUUUGACUUUCUCAAUAAUUAUGAAACAAGAAAUGGUGGUCAGUAACAUUUACAUUGUUCAUCCAGGAGGAUGAAUAGUCCAAAUGUGGGGAUGGUUGAACUCUACUCAAUCAUUUCUUUGUUAAAAAUGUUAUGGUGUCUUUUUGUUGUCAGGUGUUCAUCCAACAGGUAACAUCAUUUUGAUAGUUAUGGUAAUAGCUUGUACAUAGUCUAACCUGUUGGUUGCAAUGAAACCCUGAAUGUAUGUUUAAUGUAAGUUAUUUUGGUACUUUGCACAUUUACAACUAAAAUGGCUUAUUUCUUAUCUUUCGUUAUUAU
rnacentral:lncRNA from 1 species